rnacentral:rRNA from 1 species
AUACGUAGGGGGCAAGCGUUAUCCGGAAUUAUUGGGCGUAAAGAGUACGUAGGUGGUUUCCUAAGCGAGGGGUUUAAGGCAAUGGCUUAACCAUUGUUCGCCCCCCGAACUGGGUUACUUGAGUGCUGGAGGGGAAAGCGGAAUUCCUAGUGUAGCGGUGAAAUGCGUAGAUAUUAGGAGGAACACCAGUGGCGAAGGCGGCUUUCUGGACAGUAACUGACACUGAGGUACGAAAGUGUGGGGAGCAAACAGGAUUAGAUACCCUGGUAGUCCACACCGUAAACGAUGAGCACUAGGUGUUGGGUUCGCAAGAACUCGGUGCCGCAGUUAACGCAUUAAGUGCUCCGCCUGGGGAGUACGUACGCAAGUAUGAAACUCAAAUGAAUUGGCGGGG